GGGAGUAAAUAGAGUGAUGUAGAAAUCGUAAAUUAAAGAUAACUGGAUAAGGACAUAAGGUAACGGGUAACCGCACUCUUUUUUUUAAUUACUUGUUAUAAUAGCAAAAAAAUAAAUAAAAAUUACAUGCACAUCAAGGGUAGACGUUGGUACAGGAUCCGAAACUUGAUCACAACACCAGAUAAGAUAAUCCGAAAUAAGUGGCAAGUACCUUUAUAGGUAAAGGAGACCCUAGUCGACUUCAUACGAAUGUCGACCUCUGCAGGACGACUUAUGCCUAGUCGACUUCGACUUCGUGGAAAUCAAGGCUUGAAAGUCGGACCUGAGGAAGUCGACCCUAUAAAGUCGACCUGGGUCAGAUCUAGGCAGUUAGGCAGUUAGAGCCCUAAUGACCAGAUUAUCCCAUAAGGACCCUAUAAAUAGGGAUCACCACCCCUCAUUGAAGGUUAGGUUAAUUGGAGUGAGAAAGAACCCCUGCCAGAAUACGUCUGAGUAACUGGAGGAGGGUCUGAGCUGUUCCGACGAAGCUCCUGGCCCAACGUUUGUUCGUAGUUUCGUCCGAGCACUGAUCGGGAACUACCCUUGUCAGAUGUGAAUCGAGUCAAUCUUAGGAGUGAACGUGGGUCGGAUCAAACCCGAACAUGUCGGGUUCGGGUGGAUAUUUUCGGUCAUGAAACCCAAUAUAAAGAAUCCGAAUAUGAAUUUUUUUCACCCGAUUUUUUCGUGUCAGGUUCAGGUAACACCCGAACCAAACCCGACUCACCCGAAUCUCGAAAAAAUUUAUAAAAAAAAUCUUCAAAAAAAAUAAUCAUAUAAAUAAAUUUUUAUUUUAUAUAAAAUAUUUUAUAAAAAUUUAAUAUACACAUUUAAUAAUAAUGAAAAAAUUAAUCUAAACCCUAAUAUUAUUAUCAUUUUCUUAUAUAUCCUUUUACAUUUUCAUCUUUCCUUUUCUCACCGUCGCUAGGGGUGAGAUUCCCCGUACUCGUAUCUGGUACCCGGCCCGUACCCGACUGUCUGGGUACGGGGAUGAUUUUCCUACCUGAAGCUGAAAAUUCCCCGUCCCCGACCGAAAUCCCCGGUCAUUUCUGGGUACGAGGAUGGGGAUCAAAAUCCCCGCCCCAGAUAAUCCCCGUACCUGGAGAAAAUUGCAUAUAGACCCCCCAAAAAAAUUAUAUUGUAUAAUUUAUAUAAAUAACAUUAUACAAUAUAUUAAAUAGAAAAAUUUAUAUUUAAAAUUAUAAAAUUAAAUCUAUAUCAUAAAUAUAGAUUCCUAAUUAAAAACAUAAAACCUUAAAAAUUAAACCUGAUUUUUAUUCUUGUUGUUCCACCAAUCCACCGCCGCUGUCCUAACUCUGCUGUUGACCUAACUCCGUUGUUGUCCUAACUCUUAAGUACUAAGAUAUGCUUCGCAUGAUGGCAAUCCAGGUCUGAUUUUUUUUAAAAUGAAAUAGAUCAAUAGAGUUGGCACUUGGCAGAUUGUUUGAAUUUUAAAAUGAAAAUCAAACAGCGGUGGAAGUUUCCAAGUGCUUAGGAGUUGGGACACAUGAUCAAAAUUUGAUUGUUGAAUAUCAAUGUUGUAUGAGCCACACUACCAUAUCAUUGUCAUUUUUUGAGAUCAUUAGUAAUUUUCUAGUCGCUCUUUAGCUAGUCACUCAUUUUUUGAGAUCAUUUUUUGCCAAAUACUCCAUCUGUAUAUCAGUUAUUAAUAACAAAUGAAGUUUUUAUGAAUGUAUGAUUGUGGUUAUAUUCAGCAAUCCAAGUUUUCUAUGAUGCUUGUAAUCUCUGAUAUAAUUUUGAAAUGCAAAUUUAUUAUGUUGUUCAUCUGUUCAUAUAUAUAUUCAUUUGUUCAUAUAUUAAUGAAAUCUAAAACAGUAAGUAUUUCUUAUUUCUUAUACUCAAUUCAAUUGUUUUUAUCUCUUUCAGUGAAAAUAUGAGUGAUAACAUGACUCCUAAUGAUAAUACGACUUCUACUUCAACGCCCAUUGAAACGAUUGAACCAAUUAGGUAAUUAUUUUUAUCCAUUUAUGUAAUUCAUGUUAUUUAUUAUAACUAUUUCGAUUAAUUAAUUCUUAUAUUUUACAUAUUAGUGUGAAUGAGAAUAAUAAUUCGAAAAAGAGGAGAGUUUCAAAAGUAUGGACAGAUUUUGAAAAAAUGAUGGUUAAUGGUUCUCAAAUGGUCAGAUGCAAGCAUUGUGGUGAGACAUGCCUGAUUACGUCAGUCACUCCCAGCAACGCCCUUCAACAAUGACUAGGGUUCCGUCGCUUUAUGCCGGACCCCCGGAGAGCUCCACGGUUGCAGACAAGUGUCUACGUCAAGUACUCAAAUCAACACUGGGAAUUGACGACUGAGACAACCGACUCCAAAGGUGAGCCACCGAUUCCAGGCCUGGUUGACCAGUUCUGGUAGACUGCCAACCUACCUCAUGGGGAAUCGAUGGUCCACCCUGAGUCGCCGACUCUCAGCCGUUAUUUGACUUGACAUGCGUCAUUAUGGCACCUUCAAUAGGACACCAUAAUAACGUGGGUCCCAGGAACAAUGAAUGGGAAACGCCCCAAGUACCAUAUAAAAGGGGCCAUUGGGGGGGUCCACAUUCAUCAUCUCAUAUCCUCCACAAUCACUUGACAUACACUUCAACCAGAGUACAUCUAGGAGCCUGAAUCGCCGACUCCCUUGCUGAGUCACCGAUUUCCCUCCUCUCUGCAGGUACAUUGACGUAGAGCGCGCGUCAUGGACUCCAAAGCCUUCGGCUCAUCUUGCAACCCCGCGAGUCCCUUGGUAGCAGAUUACGUGCUUCAUCACAUUACAAAAAAGAUUUUUGAAAUGUUAGAAACUGCAUUACAUUUUAAAAAAGUCUUCGAAGGAUUGACAAUUAUAGAUCUUAUUUAUAAGUUCGAACCUAAUGAAGAUGAGUGGAAGACUGUUGAAGUUAUUGCUUCAUGUUUCAGUUUGUUCUAUAAAGUCAUGCAAACUUUUUCAAUGUCACUUCAUCCUUCUUCAAAUCAUUAUUUUUCGAUGAUUGGCAACAUUCAUCUGAAAAUAUCCAGUUGUAGCACAGAUGGCGAAAGAUAUCUUAGCUAUACCAGUGUCAACAGUUACAUCUGAGUCAUCUUUUAGUACUGGAGGACGUGUGGUUCACAAGUUUAGAAGUACUCUAAACACUAAAGUUGUUGAAGCCCUUAUUUGUAGCCAAGAUGAGAUUCGUCAUACAAUGCCAGACAAUUUUAUAAAAUUUCAAAUUUUAUAUUAUUUAAUUUCAAACAACUAUGAGACAGAAGCCCUAAUGUCUAUGUUAUUUGAAUUUUAUUUUGUAGAUAAUGGAACAGAAGAAAAAUCAAACUCGGUUGUUUCGGACAUAGAAACUAUGAGCCCGA
rnacentral:lncRNA from 1 species